GGACUAAUUCUUGCUGGUUUAACUUGUCACCUAAUUGACAAUUUGAAAUUAAUUCUUACCGUAUGCCACUCUAUCUUUACUUGCCCGGUUGGUAAAGUUAUAUUGACGUAUUUUGAGCUGUAAUCAUACAUUUCCUUUGAAUCAAUUAUCACUUGUCUUACUUGAUUUUACAUAUCAUCUGUCUGUAAAUUGAUCAUGUUACCUUAAUUAAAAUUGGUAGAUUUCUUACUUGUUUAUAUUUGGUAAAAAUAAAUUAAAAUAAAUCUAAUUUUGGGAUCUUUUAAAAUAAGGAAAAACUAAUAAUAAUUGAUCCCCCUUUUAUACCUUUCCCUUACUUGCCCGUACUUUAGUGACUAUAAAUAGGACCACUCCCUUCAUUGUUUGAGGGAACAUUGGCUGACAUUCUGAAAAAUACUAAAAAAUAUAUUGCUCGCUACUCUAAAAGAAAAGAAAUAAUACAAAGGUUUUGUGAACUCUAAGAGGACUCUCCAUUCGAUUUUGCUGGGUACGGGUCUAUUUGAAUUAAGUUCGUCUGCAUUGCUGAUACUUAUACUCUGCAUAAUCGGUUAGUUCUAUUCCACUAUUUUAUUUUCGUUUUACAUAUGUUUCUUUGGAAUGUUGUGUAUGAAUAAAAUAAAAGGGAGGCAUCCGAGUUAGUUCCCUUCACCUAUAUCUUCUAUGUGAUAUAUUUGUGUGUUUUGCUUAAAUGAUUGUGAGGCUACAUGUAUGUGAAACAAAUCUUACUGCGCAUAUUUGUUGUUAUUUGUAUUCGGCUGUGUUUUCUUGCUUUAACAGGGUUUUUGAGCUGAAAGAUUCA
rnacentral:lncRNA from 1 species